rnacentral:rRNA from 1 species
CCUACGGGUGGCAGCAGUGAGGAAUAUUGGUCAAUGGACGAGAGUCUGAACCAGCCAAGUAGCGUGAAGGAUGACUGCCCUAUGGGUUGUAAACUUCUUUUAUAUGGGAAUAAAAUGUUCCACGUGUGGGAUUUUGUAUGUACCAUAUGAAUAAGGAUCGGCUAACUCCGGGCCAGCAGCCGCGGUAAUACGGAGGAUCCGAGCGUUAUCCGGAUUUAUUGGGUUUAAAGGGAGCGUAGGUGGAUUGUUAAGUCAGUUGUGAAAGUUUGCGGCUCAACCGUAAAAUUGCAGUUGAAACUGGCAGUCUUGAGUACAGUAGAGGUGGGCGGAAUUCGUGGUGUAGCGGUGAAAUGCUUAGAUAUCACGAAGAACUCCGAUUGCGAAGGCAGUUCACUGGACUGCAACUGACACUGAGGCUCGAAAGUGUGGGUAUCAAACAGGAUUAGAUACCCUAGUAGUC